rnacentral:rRNA from 1 species
CACGUAGGGGGCGAGCGUUGUCCGGAAUUACUGGGCGUAAAGGGCGCGUAGGCGGCUUAAUAAGUCUGAUGUGAAACCCCUGGGCUUAACCCUGGGCUUGCAUUAGAAACUGUUAGGCUUGAGGGCAGGAGAGGAAAGCGGAAUUCCCAGUGUAGCGGUGAAAUGCGUAGAUAUUGGGAAGAACACCAGUGGCGAAGGCGGCUUUCUGGACUGUCACUGACGCUGAGGCGCGAAAGCCAGGGUAGCGAAC